CAAGGCUUGACAUAUACGAGAACGGGCCAGAAAUGGUCAACUCUUUGGACACUCGUAAACAGGUGGUGCAUGGUUGUCGUCAGCUCGUGUCGUGAGAUGUUGGGUUAAGUCCCGCAACGAGCGCAACCCUCGUUCUAUGUUGCCAGCACGUAAUGGUGGGAACUCAUGGGAUACUGCCGGGGUCAACUCGGAGGAAGGUGGGGAUGACGUCAAAUCAUCAUGCCCCUUAUGUCUUGGGCUUCACGCAUGCUACAAUGGCCGGUACAAAGGGCUGCAAUACCGCAAGGUGGAGCGAAUCCCAAAAAGCCGGUCCCAGUUCGGAUUGAGGUCUGCAACUCGACCUCAUGAAGUCGGAGUCGCUAGUAAUCGCAGAUCAGCAACGCUGCGGUGAAUACGUUCCC
rnacentral:rRNA from 1 species